UACGAAGGGGGGCUAGCGUUGCUCGGAAUCACUGGGCGUAAAGGGUGCGUAGGCGGGUCUUAAGUCAGGGGUGAAAUCCUGGAGCUCAACUCCAGAACUGCCUUUGAUACUGAGGAUCUUGAGUUCGGGAGAGGUGAGUGGAACUGCGAGUGUAGAGGUGAAAUUCGUAGAUAUUCGCAAGAACACCAGUGGCGAAGGCGGCUCACUGGCCCGAUACUGACGCUGAGGAGCGAAAGCGUGGGGAGCAAACAGGG
rnacentral:rRNA from 1 species